UCCUGGUUGGCCCAGGCAGUCUCGCAUGAAAAAUACAACAUACGAUAAGGGUUGCGCUCGUUGCGGGACUUAACCCAACAUCUCACGACACGAGCUUUCGACGGCCAUGCAGCACCUGUCACCUGGUUCCCGAGGGCACCCCCGCAUCUCUGCGGGGUUCCAGGGAUGUCAAGCCUCGGUAAGGUUCUACGCGUAGCGUCAUAUUAAACCACAUCCUCCUCCGCUUGUGCGGGUCCCCGUCAAUUCCUUUGAGUUUUAACCUUGCGGUCGUACUUCCCAGGCGGCAUACUUAUCGCGUUAGCUGCGACGCACAGGGGGUCGAUACCCCAUACGUCUAGUAUGCAUCGUUUACGGCGUGGACUAC
rnacentral:misc_RNA from 1 species